GCAAAACGCGAAGAACCUUACCAGGCCUUGACAUGCAGAGAACUUUCCAGAGAUGGAUUGGUGCCUUCGGGAACUCUGACACAGGUGCUGCAUGGCUGUCGUCAGCUCGUGUCGUGAGAUGUUGGGUUAAGUCCCGUAACGAGCGCAACCCGUUGUCCUUAGCCACCAGCACGUUAUGGUGGGCACUCUAAGGAGACUGCCGGUGACAAACCGGAGGAAGGUGGGGAUGGACGUCAAGUCAUCAUGGCCCUUACGGCCUGGGCUACACACGUGCUACAAUGGUCGGUACAGAGGGUUGCCAAGCCGCGAGGUGGAGCUAAUCUCACAAAACCGAUCGUAGUCCGGAUCGCAGUCUGCAACUCGACUGCGUGAAGUCGGAAUCGGCUA
rnacentral:rRNA from 1 species